UUCCCGGGCCGUCCUCUUGGCCCUUCUGAGCUCGCGGCUUCCGCGGCGGUUUCUCCUCCUCCCGCUCCUCCUGUUCGCCCUGCGCCCGCUUCUCUCGCUGCCGCCGCCGCCGCUGUUUGUCUCCUCUCCCUCCUCCUCCUCCUCUUCCUCCUCCUCCCGCUCCUCGAUGCUCCGCCGCUCGCGGCUGGGGGGUCCGGGGCCGCGUCUCCUCUCCUCCCUCCGCCUCUCCUGUUUCCUCCUUCCUGCUGCCUCUUCUUUUAAAGCGGAUUCUUUGGCCACAAAUAGCAACUCGGCUGCCCCCCUCGGUGCCUCCCUCCCCUUCUCUUCUUCCCCCCAAAAGUGAAGCGCACGCGAGGUAAAGAAACGAAGACCCUGAGAAUUUAAAAUCAUCCAACUAUUUGGUGCCAGAAGCAGGACAAGAACUCAGACAUCAUGAUCCAGUGCCCUCCGUCCCACCAACUAUUCAUCAUCACCUCCACAUUCUGGAUCAAAGAAGCCAGUUUUCCAACUUAUCAGUGAGCAAUACAUAUAGAAUAUUUUAAAAACUCCAAAUACUUUUAUGAAGGAAAAAUGAAGCAAUAGGACAAGACAUUUUCUUCGUUUCCUUCCAGCUCUAACAUUCUGUGAUAAAUAGCACACAGGAGCUUUGCUAUAGCACAACCCCCUCUAGUGCAUAAUUCAGCAUACGAUGAGUAUGAGUCUGUUUUGGACCCCAUCCAAAGGAGUUAGUUCCUAGAAGUACUUGGAAGAUUUAUUCUCAUUUAUCAUGAGGCAUCCUAACAGGAGACUAAAAAUAAUCACGAUGACAAUAAUAGUAAUCAGUUGUUAAACUUGCAUUAUGUACUAAGCAUCAUGCUAAGCAUGUUGAAGUUCACCCGUUUUUGAAAAGGCACAUCAUGACCUUACGUGGGUUGCGAAUCUAGUGGGUCAUAAACAAUUUCUGAAAUGAAAGAAAAGUAGGAAAAAACACAGAGUACAUUAUACAUACUAAGUUGUUUUUUUGUUUGUUUGUUUUUUUGCAAAACUUCCUUUUUGAUCAUGUGGCUAGUGAUUAAAAUUUUGGAAGCACUGCCUCGUUUCCAAUCUUAACUGCCUUGGUAGUUAAGUAUUAUUAGCCCCAUUAUAUAAGUGAGGAAACAGGACGAGAGAGGAUAAGUAAUUUGGCCAAGCUGACAUAGUGAGUGGCCGAGCUAGAAUUUUGAACCUAGAUCUGUUUGACUUCAAAUCUGAUAUUUUCACUUCUAUAGUGAUGAUAAAUUAUUGACCAAGGUAUGGAAUAAAUUGUUGCUAAUCA